rnacentral:rRNA from 1 species
CAUUCACGGAGAGUUUGAUCCUGGCUCAGGACGAACGCUGGCGGCGUGCUUAACACAUGCAAGUCGAACGAUGAACCUCCUUCGGGAGGGGAUUAGUGGCGAACGGGUGAGUAACACGUGGGCAAUCUGCCCUGCACUCUGGGACAAGCCCUGGAAACGGGGUCUAAUACCGGAUAUGAGCCUGGGAGGCAUCUCCCGGGUUGUAAAGCUCCGGCGGUGCAGGAUGAGCCCGCGGCCUAUCAGCUUGUUGGUGAGGUAACGGCUCACCAAGGCGACGACGGGUAGCCGGCCUGAGAGGGCGACCGGCCACACUGGGACUGAGACACGGCCCAGAC